GACGAACGCUGGCGGCGUGCUUAACACAUGCAAGUCGAACGGAAAGGCCCUGCUUUCGUGGGGUGCUCGAGUGGCGAACGGGUGAGUAACACGUGAGUAACCUGCCCUUGACUUUGGGAUAACUUCAGGAAACUGGUGCUAAUACCGGAUACGUGCUCCUGCUGCAUGGUGGGGGUCGGAAAGUUUCGGCGGAUGGGGAUGGACUCGCGGCUUAUCAGCUUGUUGGUGGGGUAGUGGCUUACCCAGGCUUUGACGGGUAGCCGGCCUGAGAGGGUGACCGGCCACAUUGGGACUGAGAUACGGCCCAGACUCCUACGGGAGGCAGCAGUGGGGAAUAUUGCACAAUGGGCGGAAGCCUGAUGCAGCAACGCCGCGUGCGGGAUGACGGCCUUCGGGUUGUAAACCGCUUUCGCCUGUGACGAAGCGUGAGUGACGGUAAUGGGUAAAGAAGCACCGGCUAACUACGUG
rnacentral:rRNA from 1 species